ensembl:lncRNA PRDX6-AS1 PRDX6 antisense RNA 1
GCCUGGACGACAAAGCGAGACUCUGUCUCAAAAAAAAAAAAAAAACAAAAACAAAAACGAAAAACCAAAAACCGAAAACCAAACAAACAAAAAAACCCGAGUGGAUUAGAUUUCUCAGGGACAUUUUCAUUUUAAAGGCAACAAAGAAGUUUUAGAAGCAAAUGAUUGAAAUUCUUAGAUCCAGUUAUUAAACAUUACCAGCACAACAUUGGCUUCUUAUUCCUCAGUUUACCAGGCUGUUACUCAAAAUUCACUCUCCAGCCCUGCUUUGGAGCAGUUGGGAACUUCAGCAUUUUGAUCCACCUUUUUGGAGCCACCUCAUGUGAAAGAUGGAUGAGACCUUCGUCAGCAAACCUGUCUACGUAGGAGCUGGUAUGAGGAUCACACAAUGCAAGCAAAUAAAAUGAGAAAAGAUGAUUCAACAAGAGGCUUCACUGAUUUACUGUUUAACUGCUUUGACCAAAGUGCUUGGUUCUUAUAUGAAUAAGAAAGGGGAUGAGUUAUCCACCAGAAUGAAAGUUAUAUUCUGGUUUGAAGCUUCUGCUGUCAGAUAAUAUAGUUUUCUAUAGUGUGGAAGAACAGCAUCAUCUUCAAGCAAGGUGGAAUUAAGCAUGGACAGAACUGUGUUUCUCACCCAGGAGGAGGUAUGAAAGUUUUCAAGACGCCUACAAGUGGAAAAUGCACUCCUCCCAGCCAAAUCAAGCUUCGCCAGAUUCCUUACAGCUGUGUGCAGUGAAAUGACUAAUGAAAGAGCCCUCUGCUGCUGGUGGAACUUUCACAUAUGGCACUGUUAUGCCACUCAGCAGGACCCGACCCUGGUAUUUACAUAUUGGAUGUCACCCCAAAAGCCCCUGACCAGGGGGUUUCCGGGAUGUAAUAAGAAUGCCACUCUGGGCUUUGGAAGGUGCACCGUAUGCACACCCAUACUAUAGGGCAGGGGUUAGCAUUUCAGACCCCUGUUCCUCCCUUGACAAGCAAGUGCUUUUCUCCAGGGAAGACGUUCAGGUUCAUUCAUAGAUCCAUUGGUGCCGUGGGCAGCUCAGUAACAAUAGCUCUGCUGCCUACCAGCUGCUGGUGGAGGUGUUGAGAAUACCUAAUGAGGAAGUCAGGGCCCCUGCGUGCUUCAGCAGAGCUGGAUGCCUGGCAUGGCAAUCAAUGGACACAAACCUUUGGAUAAUUUCCGUCCUUGGCGGUGUGUUCUAUAGCAUAGGUAUGAAGUGGGUGCUCUGGGAGCUCAGAAGAGGGGCUCUUCUCUUAACUUAUGGGUGGCCAGGGAAGGCUUCCUGGAGCUCAAAUGACUGAGUGGAGUCUUCAACAUUAAAAAAAAAAAAAAGAAAAAAAAAGUGCUUCCCUCCCACCCCCAGUUAAAAAGGUAAUACACCUCAUUGAAAUAAUUUAAACUUUACAGAAAUGUGUUCCUUUAAAGUUCAGAGAGUAAAGAGGAAGUAAUAAAGCUGAAAUAGUAGAAU